GUAUAUUCUUCAACUCCACAUUCAUCAAUUUUCUCCUCCAACUUCAACAAUAACAACAAUCAUGACGCGAUCAACGAAACUUAAAUAUGUGCUGACGGAGCCAGAGAUGGACGCGGCUUUGCAGUUAAUUCAACUUAGCGGAGAUUCUCAUAACGACGAUUAUUUCGAAGUAAAUGAAGAAGAAAGCAAAAGAGGGAAUACGCCGGAGACAUUAAUAAGGAAAAGGAAGUUCCGGUUAGUCGUUGAUCUUUACGACGAGACGGAACCGUUGUCGAUGAUGAAGAUGAAGAAGAAGAAGAAGAAGCAUCAACAUCACGGAGGAUUUAAAAUUAAAUAGUAAUUAGUUAUACGUAUUGUUAUGUAAUAAUGUAAAUUAAUCAUAAGCAAUUAUUUAGAUUUGUAUUUCGAU
rnacentral:lncRNA from 1 species